rnacentral:rRNA from 1 species
CCAGCAGAGGUGUUGCAUGGUUGUCGUCAGCUCGUGUCGUGAGAUGUUGGGUUAAGUCCCGCAACGAGCGCAACCCNUAUUCGAUGUUGCUAUCCCGCAAGGGAGCACUCUUCGAAAACUGCCUUCGAUAAGAAGGAGGAAGGUGGGGACGACGUCAAAUCCUCAUGGCCCUUAUGUCCAGGGCUACACACGUGCUACAAUGGCCGGUACAACGGGAAGCAAUACCGCAAGGUGGAGCCAAACCCUUAAAGCCGGCCUCAGUUCAGAUCGUGGGCUGCAACUCGCCCACGUGAAGGCGGAAUCGCUAGUAAUCGCGAAUCAGCAGGUCGCGGUGAAUACGUUCCCGGGCCUUGUACACACCGCCCGUCACACCACGAAAGCCCGCUGCAACAGAAAUCGGUGAUCUAACCGGCAAGGGAGGAAGCCGCUGAAGUUGUGGUUGGUGAUUGGGGUGAAGUCGUAACAAGGU